GACGAACGCUGGCGGCGUGCUUAACACAUGCAAGUCGAACGGUGAAGCCCUUCGGGGUGGAUCAGUGGCGAACGGGUGAGUAACACGUAAGCAACCUGCCCCUGGCUCUGGGACAACCACUGGAAACGGUGGCUAAUACCGGAUACGACCCGCCUCGGCAUCGAGUGUGGGUGGAAAGUUUUUCGGCUGGGGAUGGGCUCGCGGCCGAUCAGCUUGUUGGUGAGGUGAAGGCUCACCAAGGCGACGACGGGUAGCCGGCCUGAGAGGGCGACCGGCCACACUGGGACUGAGACACGGCCCAGACUCCUACGGGAGGCAGCAGUGGGGAAUAUUGCACAAUGGGCGAAAGCCUGAUGCAGCGACGCCGCGUGAGGGAUGACGGCCUUCGGGUUGUAAACCUCUUUCAGCUCCGAAGAAGCGAAAGUGACGGUAGGAGCAGAAGAAGCACCGGCUAACUACGUG
rnacentral:rRNA from 1 species